rnacentral:rRNA from 1 species
AACCCUUGCCUUUAGUUGUCCAGCAGUUCGGCUGGGCACGUCUAAAGGGACUGCCGGUGUUAAACCGGAGGAAGUGGGGAUGACGUCAAGUCCUCAUGGCCUUUAUGGACCAGGGCUACACACGUACUACAAUGGCCGAUACAAAGGGCAGCGACACUGCGAGGUGAAGCCAAUCCCGUAAAAUCGGUCUCAGUCCGGAUUGGAGUCUGCAACUCGACUCCAUGAAGUUGGAAUCGCUAGUAAUCGUGAAUCAGAAUGUCACGGUGAAUACGUUCCCGGGCCUU